rnacentral:rRNA from 1 species
UACGUAGGGUGCGAGCGUUGUCCGGAAUUACUGGGCGUAAAGAGCUCGUAGGUGGUUUGUCGCGUUGUCCGUGAAAACUCACAGCUUAACUGUGGGCGUGCGGGCGAUACGGGCAGACUGGAGUACUGCAGGGGAGACUGGAAUUCCUGGUGUAGCGGUGGAAUGCGCAGAUAUCAGGAGGAACACCGGUGGCGAAGGCGGGUCUCUGGGCAGUAACUGACGCUGGAGGAGCGAAAAGCGUGGGGGAGCGAAACAGG